AGCGUAGACGGAAUGGCAAGCCUGAUGUGAAAGGCCGGGGCUCAACCCCGGGACUGCAUUGGAAACUGUCAAUCUAGAGUACCGGAGGGGUAAGUGGAAUUCCUAGUGUAGCGGUGAAAUGCGUAGAUAUUAGGAGGAACACCAGUGGCGAAGGCGGCUUACUGGACGGUAACUGACGUUGAGGCUCGAAAGCGUGGGGAGCAAACA
rnacentral:rRNA from 1 species